UGACACAGCCUGUCCUGUUUGUUGUGC
rnacentral:piRNA from 1 species